rnacentral:rRNA from 1 species
CCUACGGGGGGCUGCAGUGGGGAAUAUUGGACAAUGGGGGCAACCCUGAUCCAGCCAUGCCGCGUGUGUGAAGAAGGCCCUCGGGUUGUAAAGCACUUUCAGUGAGGAAGAACGCCUGGUGGUUAAUACCCAUCAGGAAAGACAUCACUCACAGAAGAAGCACCGGCUAACUCCGUGCCAGCAGCCGCGGUAAUACGGAGGGUGCGAGCGUUAAUCGGAAUUACUGGGCGUAAAGCGCGCGUAGGUGGCUUAAUAAGCCGGUUGUGAAAGCCCCGGGCUCAACCUGGGAACGGCAUCCGGAACUGUCAAGCUAGAGUGCAGGAGAGGAAGGUAGAAUUCCCGGUGUAGCGGUGAAAUGCGUAGAGAUCGGGAGGAAUACCAGUGGCGAAGGCGGCCUUCUGGACUGACACUGACACUGAGGUGCGAAAGCGUGGGUAGCAAACAGGAUUAGAUACCCCGGUAGUC